GACGAACGCUGGCGGCGUGCUUAACACAUGCAAGUCGAACGGUAAGGCCCUUCGGGGUACACGAGUGGCGAACGGGUGAGUAACACGUGGGUGAUCUGCCCUGCACUUCGGGAUAAGCCUGGGAAACUGGGUCUAAUACCGGAUAGGACCCUGGGAUGCAUGUCCUGGGGUGGAAAGCUUUUGCGGUGUGGGAUGGGCCCGCAGCCUAUCAGCUUGUUGGUGGGGUGAUGGCCUACCAAGGCGACGACGGGUAGCCGGCCUGAGAGGGUGACCGGCCACACUGGGACUGAGAUACGGCCCAGACUCCUACGGGAGGCAGCAGUGGGGAAUAUUGCACAAUGGGCGUAAGCCUGAUGCAGCGACGCCGCGUGAGGGAUGACGGCCUUCGGGUUGUAAACCUCUUUCAGCACCGACGAAGCGCAAGUGACGGUAGGUGCAGAAGAAGGACCGGCCAACUACGUGCCAGCCGCCGCAGUAA
rnacentral:rRNA from 1 species